GCUACUAAGGAAGUAAAAACUCUGUGACAGACAUCUGGAAGAAGAAAGAAGCCAAGAAAGAUGAACCUAAUAUUCAAGGUCAUGUUUUCUUUCAGGCACUGUCAGUUCUGAAAGUGAAAGUAGAAAUUGGCAAACUCAGACGACCCUUGGGAAAUUUCAAGAGUGGAAAGACAAGCGAGAGUUGUCCAGAGACAGCAGGAUUUGGUAACCCCCAGACAUAUGGUUAGGACCCUGAAAAUGACUAUAGAGAGGUGUAAGCAUAAGAAUGAGUUAGAAAUAAAAAACUCACAGGACUAAAACUCAAUUCUAAAUUAGUUCAGUCCCUGAUGGGAUUAAGGCAGUCAUCCCUAGCCUAACUGCUUGCCAGAACCAGAAAUAAAUGCUUUCUGGGAAAACUUAUCACCGAUCAGUGAGCUCUAAGUAAAAUUCUGCUUUACUCAUAAAAACAUUUCAAAUUUGAAACAGUGAGAUGUAAUUUAUCUUCAGUAAAGCUGACAGAUGAAGAAAGUAACACAAAAUCUAAUGACACUGACAUAAAUUUUCUUAUACUAUACUUGAUAUGAUUGUCCUUGGUGUCUGCUGAGACUUCUCAGCUUGAUCUUGCUGCCUGUCUUGGACAUGUCUCCACACACCUUCCCAGAUAUGGAAGACGGAACCAGGAGGGACAUACCUGUCCAAAGGGAAACCGUGACUUGGCCAGGAUGGGAACUAGUGGCCCAAAUUUUGAUGGUUUUAUCCCUCAGAGGCAUUAAGAACAUUCUACAUUUCCAAAGUUUCACAUUUCUACAUUUCUACUGAGUGCUUGAUUAAAGAAAGUGCUAAAACGGAAGAAAAAUGGAAUCUGGCUCACAUCGUUCAGGGUGCCGUGCUGUCUGGGAACUCUCUGGUUGCAGCUUAGGUAACAGUUGGGUGUCAGCAGAUGGCAAAGUAUUUGUUUGCUGGAAUGAAGCUUGAAAGAGGCCAACAUGAAUUCUAAUCAAGACUGCAGUGUUGCUGCUUGCUCCACAGGGAUUUCAACAUGUAGACCUGCUACUUAGGCUCACCUUUUGAGGUUUAAUUAUAACAGGAGGCUGCUUCCCAAGAAAUCUCAUAACCUUACUACGAGUGGAGAUUGAAUACAUUUUUCUUCUAAAAUUGAUCAGUCUGGGACUUCGUUCCCAUCAUGAAUCGGUACGUCUUUUCUAACGUGAGUAGUUGAAAAGUGUUGUUUCUAUUCAGUUUAUCUGGAGUCAAAAUGUAUUUGUUCGCUUAAUACAUGUUUAUUGUAUAUACUGUGUGCCAGGCACUGUCUCUAGAUUGGGGAAUGUGGAAGUGACUGAGACAUAAUAUUUUUUUCCCUUAUUGGGAAGUCAAAUAGGACGCAAGGAAAGCUUCAAUAAAAAACAAUUUGGUAGAUGAUUGAGGAGGUAUGAAAUAAGAAACACUAGAAUGUGGGGAUGCUUUUCAUGGAGUGCUUCUGUAGCUGUGGUAAAUAGAAUGUCCUGUAUCUUAGUUACUUUCUCAUUGUUGGGACAAGAUGCUCAACCCACAGGUUAAAGGAAAGGCUUAUUUUGGCUCGCAGUUUGUAGAGGUUUCAGCCUACAGUUAGCUGGCUCCAAGGCAGGGUGGCAUGGCAGAUGGGCGAAUUACUCAUGGAAAGGCAGCAGGAGCAAAGAGGGAUCAAGGAAGGAGAGGGCGGGGAAUAGUCUCUGCCGAGCCACGGCCCCAGCGACCGCCUCCUCCCACCAGGCUUCUCCUCCCAGCAUCACAUGGAUAAGCUCCAGCCUCAUCAGUGCACCAACCCUCUUGUGAGUAUCAUGCCCCAUGAUCCAAUGACCUCCUAAAAGUCCUGCCUGUGAGCGCACAGGGCUUUGGGAGGACAUCUAGGCCUGAAUCAUAAUAGCCCAGGUGCUGAGGUGAGACCUGAGUUGUGAUCUUUACUGCAAUAAGAAAUCAUAGCAGAAACUACAGGACAGCACAUAUCAAGCAGAGGAAACUGCAGACCUGAGGGCCAUUAUGAGAACCAGCUGGCUAUGCAGGAGCUGAGCAGACAGUGACGGAAGUGGGGCAGCAGGGACAAUGGCAGGUGAUGAGGUUGGCAUGGAGAUGGGCAGGGCGGUGGCCUGGGGCCGCAGGGGCCAAGGCAGUAG